rnacentral:lncRNA from 1 species
UUAUUCAUUGUUAUAAUAUUCUGUUAUCUAGAGUCAAAGGUUUGGAGAACAAAAUUAACAAAGAUAGUGAAAAGAAGGAGCAAAUGAGAAAGCUAUGCUACAAACAGAAAAUAUGAUUCCUUUGGGAGCUGUGUCCAUUUAGCCAGCAACAUUUCUUAAACUUAACGUCUAACUAAACCUACUAUGGAACAAAACUAUUACGAACCUAAUCAACCAAUCAAGGAUAGGGAAGGAAAAGGGUUAAAAAAUAAACUGUUGUUAAAAUAAACCAAAUAAAUAAAAUAUAAUUUGAAAACAACAAUUUGACAUUAUAUUUAACCUCCAAUAUUAUGACAGACGUCAGUUACCAUUUACAAUCUCACCAAAUAGGCCGUUCCAAGAUGCUGUCAAAAUUAAAUCAAUAUGGCUACCGGAAGGCAAACAUUGAAUAUUAUUCUAUCAGGUUCUUAUGGUUUUAGAUCAUUUUAGUUGUUGUACAAAGAUUAAUUUAACAUUUUCUCUGGAAGUAUUAAUUUAGAAAGAUAAUAUGCCUCAUUGGUGUUGUGUUUUGAAGUGUGAAAUGCAAAGUAAUCGUGAUAAAGUUAGCUUUUACCACUUACCAUCAGUGCUACAUUCUAAGCACAAAACUGAACCAAUUUAACUAAAUAAGUUAUAGUUAUCAUCUGAGAGACAACAACAAUGGUAAAAUGCAAUAAAAUAUUAAGAUUUUACUAGCAAAAUGGAAAUUCCCCUGUAAUCAUCUUAUAUCUGGUAAGUUACAACAUUUGAACAUUAACCAUUUUUGAAGAUGUUAACAGUCUAAUCUUGUAGGAAAACCAGCCGACUUAACUGAUAAUAACAAUCCAGAUUGGGUUCCUUCAAUAAAUAUGGGGUAUAUAAACACAAUGAAAUGAGUUCCCCAAAAUCUAAAAUGGGAAUUAAGGUACCAAAGGAGAAUUAAAAGAAAAGGGUACCUACAAGAAAAAAUUGCUUUUUUAUUCCUCUUGAAAUGAUUUAUAAGACACUGGACUGUCUUAUAUUCUACAAAUACUAGAAUCAGCUGAGAGAAGUGGUCUACAAAAACCCAGGAAGGAAACGGAAUAUGUGGCUACGAAAGGCAAAAGAAAGGUUUACAAAGCAAAUGUGACACAUUUUUUUGAAAUAUUUAGGAAUAUCAGUAAAUUGCAUUAAAAAAAUGUAUGAAAAGAUUUUGUUCAAUAAAAAUGUUUAUAUUUA